rnacentral:rRNA from 1 species
CCUUCGGGGUGAGUGGCAGACGGGUGAGUAACGCGUGGGAACGUGCCCUUCAGUUCGGAAUAACCCAGGGAAACUUGGGCUAAUACCGGAUACGUGCGAGAGCAGAAAGAUUUAUCGCUGAAGGAUCGGCCCGCGUCUGAUUAGCUAGUUGGUAGGGUAAUGGCCUACCAAGGCGACGAUCAGUAGCUGGUCUGAGAGGAUGAUCAGCCACAUUGGGACUGAGACACGGCCCAAACUCCUACGGGAGGCAGCAGUGGGGAAUAUUGGACAAUGGGCGCAAGCCUGAUCCAGCCAUGCCGCGUGAGUGAUGAAGGCCUUAGGGUUGUAAAGCUCUUUCGGCGGGGACGAUAAUGACGGUACCCGCAGAAGAAGCCCCGGCUAACUUCGUGCCAGCAGCCGCGGUAAUACGAAGGGGGCUAGCGUUGUUCGGAAUCACUGGGCGUAAAGGGCGCGUAGGCGGCUUGAUAAGUCGGGGGUGAAAGCCUGUGGCUCAACCACAGAAUUGCCUUCGAUACUGUCUGGCUUGAGACCGGAAGAGGUAAGUGGAACUGCGAGUGUAGAGGUGAAAUUCGUAGAUAUUCGCAAGAACACCAGUGGCGAAGGCGGCUUACUGGUCCGGUUCUGACGCUGAGGCGCGAAAGCGUGGGGAGCAAACAGGAUUAGAUACCCUGGUAGUCCACGCCGUAAACGAUGA